UUACAUGGAUGUUGUAAUGAUCCACAGUGAAAUAUUCCCUCACCUCUUUGCGAAAUUAUCAUUCCAAACCACGGAAUACAUUAGGUUUUAUGAUCUACUCGCUUCCUUGGGGAAAUAUAAAUCUUGAAACAUCAUCUUCAUAGGACAGGGCAAAGAGUCCCCUGGGACACAAGAUGUUUAAGAACGUUAACUGAGAAUCAGAAAUAGUUUGCGAUUAAUAUCGGGGUUUUGUUUAUGGGCACAAAUAAAUCCCUGGUGUAGGGCUGACCUGUAAAAAUCUGUCCAAGAUGAAAACUCUGAUUGCAGAUGAUGGAAAUGGGGAAACAAUCUGAAUUUAAAGAGGUGAUUUGGGGUGCAGGGUUGCAGUGUUUAGGAGCUAAUAUUUUCUGACCGUAAAUUUGUAUGCUGUUCAAACAUUCCUAGCCACCCACUAAAAUAAAUACGAUAGAGACUAAGAAUUUAUAUCAACGGUCUACAGCCAUCCAAGUUUUGUAAGUAGGUCAUGUGAAACAGGGAGGUUCUUGUUCCUAGGGUCAUUGAAAGAUCCCCCCUCAGCCCUGUUGCACCAUCACUCAGGUGAGGCCCCCGCUGUGAGAUGCUCAACGUUGGGGUGUUGGAGAGGAAGCUGUGUCAGCGUCUGCGGCCUCGGGUGACUGGCAGUAGAGGGUCCUCCUGGGAAGAGAAUUGCUUUGGGGGUGAGGAGACCCACGUGUGCCCCCUCACUCAGUAGCUCUCUGGGAGGUUAGGCAGGCCUCUUCUUUGUUUACAAUCCAUCACGGACUCCUCAUAGCUUCUCGAACAAAGUCGAACCCUCAGAAGCUCUAGCCUGGGUCAUAAAAUCCCCUGUGACUUGACUCUGCCCCCUUCUCCAGGAUCAUUUCCCAUCACACCAGGCUUUCGGGACUCAGUACGUACUCUCCACUUCUUGGUCCCUUAACCUGCAGCUUCUUCCCAGAAUGUCCUUCCUCUUUGAGCCAUUUGGUACACAAAUUGCUAUUUUUUAAAAACAGCACGACGGUCUUCUUGUCUCUCAAGCCUUCUCAAUGGCUCCUGGGGAGAGGUAGUUUUCCUUCCUUUGAGUUUCUGGUAAACCCUGAACAUCGCGCUCUCCCUCUGUCUUGCGACCUCCCUGUACACAGAAUGACAGAACCUACUUCCCUGCCUUACUGGUCUUGGACUUGGCCAAGGGGCUUGAUUAAACCAGUGCGAUGUGAACAGAAGAGCCAAGGCCUUAAGAGGCCAUGUGUUUUCGUGUUCUCUAGUGCUUCUUUGAUUUUCCGUGGGAAGAAUGUGUCUCUGACAGCUGCUCUCCCAAGGAGAAUAUGGAGUCACCUGGAGCCAAUCUGCAAUCCAGCCCUUGUCUGGAGCCAACCCCAGCUGCCCUCAGCCUGGAGCAGAGCUGCCUUCACCAAAGCACAGACACGGUUCAUGGUCUCUCGGAGAGUUACUUCCAGUAUAUUGUUUUUCGAACUUAGCCACCAUCCACAGACAUGAGGAUGGAAAGGAAGACAGGGGUGAAUGGGAACAGGGAACAGUGUCCCGCCACGUGGAAGACUGUGUGGACUGGCUGCAGGGUUGGGUGAGAGUCAGUCAGGCCACAGUUCCACAGGCUCAAUCUAUUUUGCAAUCUCUGGGAAGCAGCCAUAGCCCCCAAAGCCUUUGUUUUCCUGUAAAUAAACGGUGUUGGGACCAGAGGACAAUGGUGCAUCCCGUGGUGAUUGACACCAGCCACGGCUACUAAUCAGGAUGGGACUUCAUCGCCAGCUGAGUCGAGUGCAUUAUGGGGCCAUUGUUCCAACGCUGCCGGGGCAAGAACACACACAGCCAGUCACCUUCGCAAGAUGGGUUGAUUGUUCUUCAAGAUUAGACCGAGUUGCCUUAUUAUCCGUCCCAGACAACAAGGCAUCUCACCCAAACAGACGCAUGUGCAGGGAUGGCCGGUGUGCUGGCCAGAUUUGAAUUGCUAAUGUAUAAUCUGCCCGGCACAGAUGUGCAAUGAAUAUUUGGAUGUUGUUUUGCCCGUCAGUCGAAGAGGCUGAAUGGAUGAGGUGAUGAGUAUUCAGUGAUGGGUCCUGGACGUUGGCCAACAGCAGAGUUUGAGAACUUGUGCUGACGAUAAUCAGAUUACCCUGCAAAGUACCUUUGCGGUACUUUAGCAGCAAAUUCUGUUAGAGACUGGUUGGUGGAAAGUUCCCUUUCCUUUUUGGUGCAAUGAGAUGUUUUGUUAUGUGUUUCAGACUUGGAAAAUGUAUAGAAGUUGCCUUUAUCGUGCCCUCACCUACCAACACUUGAGGCUGUGAGUAAUGCAGAGCUGACUGGUUGGGUUUGAAUUCACCGUUUUCUAGCUUAUUUGUUUAAGCUCAUUUUGCCUGUUAAAAUAUGGCUGAAAAAUUCUAUCAGCCAUAUAGAGCUGCUAUGAGAAUCCAAUGAGUUGAUGUACAUAGAAUAAGUCCUAGAACAGCGCCUGGCUUAAGCAUGUGCUCAACAAAUGUUAACAAUUACCCCAUUAUUGGUCAUUUGCUUUUUCUCAAUGUUACUGUGGUCAAGUAGAUUGGAUACACCGAAAAUAAAGUUAAACCAUGUUCAUUACGUCA